AUUGAACGCUGGCGGCAUGCCUUACACAUGCAAGUCGAACGGCAGCGGGGGAGAAGCUUGCUUUUCCUGCCGGCGAAUGGCGAACGGGUGAGUAAAGUAUCGGAACGUGCCCAGUCGUGGGGGAUAACGUAGCGAAAGUUACGCUAAUACCGCAUACGAUCUAUGGAUGAAAGCGGGGGAUCGCAAGACCUCGCGCGAGUGGAGCGGCCGAUAUCAGAUUAGGUAGUUGGUGGGGUAAAGGCUCACCAAGCCGACGAUCUGUAGCUGGUCUGAGAGGACGACCAGCCACACUGGGACUGAGACACGGCCCAGACUCCAACGGGAGGCAGCAGUGGGGAAUUUUGGACAAUGGGCGAAAGCCUGAUCCAGCCAUGCCGCGUGCAGGAUGAAGGCCUUCGGGUUGUAAACUGCUUUUGUACGGAACGAAAAGGUUUGGCCUAAUAAGCUGAGCUCAUGACGGUACCGUAAGAAUAAGCACCGGCUAACUACGUGCCAGCCGCCGCCGUAA
rnacentral:rRNA from 1 species